GCAGUCGGACGGUCUGUCGCUGGCGACUCUACGGGGUCGAAAGAGGAAAGUCCGGGCAGCACAGGGCAUCCCACUUCCUAAUGUAGAAGCAGUCCGUGAGGGUUGAGUAAUGCAGAAGAAAAUAACAACAGCUUCGGCUGAAAUGGUGAGAAGGUGAGGUAAGAGCUCACCAGCGGCAUGGUGACAUGUCGGCUGUGCAUCUUGGGAGCUGCAAGUUCAUGUAAACCACCGCUACAAGGGUAGCCCGCCCGAUUGUUCGGUGGAGGGUAGAACGCUUGAGCCAUGGGGUGACUCAUGGAGUAGAUAAAUGACAGACUCAUGUUUUUAGUUGACAGUUGACAGUUGAUAAUUGACAGUUGACUGUUGACAAUUGGCAUGGACAGAACCCGGCUUAUAGCCCGACUGCUUUC
rnacentral:RNase_P_RNA from 1 species